rnacentral:rRNA from 1 species
AAAAUCCGCCUGUCAUAUACCGAGGCUGCCGAUCGAGCGAGCUUGCUCGCGAAGUGAUUGAACGAGGUUCCAGGAAAAGCCACUAAGCUUCAGCUACACACGACCGUACCGCAAACCGACACUGGUGCGCGAGAUGAGUAUUCUAAGGCGCUUGAGAGAACUCGGGAGAAGGAACUCGGCAAAUUGACACCGUAACUUCGGAAGAAGGUGUGCCCUAGUAGUGUGAAGUGAACAACGGAGCAUGAAUGGGUUGCAAAAAAUCGGUGGCUGCGACUGUUUAUUAAAAACACAGCACUCUGCAAACACGAAAGUGGACGUAUAGGGUGUGACGCCUGCCCGGUGCUGGAAGAUUAAAUGAUGGGGUGCAAGCUCUUGAUUGAAGUCCCAGUAAACGGCGGCCGUAACAAUAACGGUCCUAAGGUAGCGAAAUUCCUUGUCGGGUAAGUUCCGACCUGCACGAAUGGCGUAACGAUGGCCACACUGUCUCCUCCCGAGACUCAGCGAAGUUGAAAUGUUUGUGAUGAUGCAAUCUCCCCGCGGAAAGACGGAAAGACCCCAUGAACCUUUACUGUAGCUUUGUAUUGGACUUUGAACAGAUCUGUGUAGGAUAGGUGGGAGGCUUUGGAGCAGGGUCGCUAGAUCUUGUGGAGCCAACGUUGAAAUACCACCCUGGUGUGUUUGAGGUUCUAACCUAGGUCCAUUAUCUGGAUCGGGGACAGUGCAUGGUAGGCAGUUUGACUGGGGCGGUCUCCUCCCAAAGCGUAACGGAGGAGUUCGAAGGUACGCUAGUUACGGUCGGACAUCGUGACGAUAGUGCAAUGGCAUAAGCGUGCUUAACUGCGAGACUGACAAGUCGAGCAGAUGCGAAAGCAGGACAUAGUGAUCCGGUGGUUCUGUAUGGAAGGGCCAUCGCUCAACGGAUAAAAGGUACUCUGGGGAUAACAGGCUGAUACCGCCCAAGAGUUCAUAUCGACGGCGGUGUUUGGCACCUCGAUGUCGGCUCAUCUCAUCCUGGGGCUGUAGCCGGUCCCAAGGGUAUGGCUGUUCGCCAUUUAAAGAGGUACGUGAGCUGGGUUUAAAACGUCGUGAGACAGUUUGGUCCCUAUCUUCCGUGGGCGCUGCAGAUUUGAGGAAGCCUGCUCCUAGUACGAGAGGACCGGAGUGGACGCACCUCUGGUGUAUCGGUUGUCACGCCAGUGGCAUUGCCGAGUAGCUAUGUGCGGAAGAGAUAACCGCUGAAAGCAUCUAAGCGGGAAACUCGUUCCAAGAUGAGAUCUGCCGGGGCCUUGAGCCCCCUAAAGAGUCGUUCAAGACCAGGACGUUGAUAGGUCAGGUGUGGAAGCGCAGUAAUGCGUUAAGCUAACUGAUACUAAUUGCUCGUGCGGCUUGACCCU